GGGAGCACCCCGCUUGGCUGCUACCAGAAGCUGAUUGAGUACUAUAAGAAUGGGGACCUGUCCUUUCAAUAUGUGAAAACCUUCAACAUGGACGAGUAUGUGGGUCUUCCUCGAGACCACCCAGAGAGUUACCACUCCUUCAUGUGGAAUAAUUUCUUCAAGCACAUUGACAUCCACCCCGAAAACACCCACAUUUUGGAUGGAAAUGCGGCUGACCUGCAGGCCGAGUGUGAUGCCUUUGAGGAGAAGAUCCAGGCUGCCGGAGGGAUCGAACUCUUUGUCGGAGGCAUUGGCCCCGAUGGACACAUUGCCUUCAAUGAGCCAGGCUCCAGCCUGGUGUCCAGGACCCGUGUGAAGACUCUGGCUAUGGACACCAUCCUGGCCAACGCUAGGUUCUUUGAUGGUGAUCUUGCCAAGGUGCCCACCAUGGCCCUAACAGUGGGGGUCGGCACUGUCAUGGAUGCUAAAGAGGUGAUGAUCCUCAUCACAGGCGCUCACAAGGCCUUCGCUCUGUACAAAGCCAUCGAGGAGGGUGUGAACCACAUGUGGACGGUGUCCGCCUUUCAGCAGCACCCCCGCACUGUGUUUGUGUGUGACGAGGACGCCACCUUGGAACUAAAAGUGAAGACAGUCAAAUAUUUCAAAGGUUUAAUGCUUGUUCAUAACAAGCUGGUGGACCCCCUGUACAGUAUCAAGGAGAAGGAAAUUCAGAAAAGCCAAUCUGCUAAGAAGCCAUACAGUGACUAGCCUGUGACCGACAUGGUAUUCAGUACCUCAGAGGGACAGGCAGGUCUUUCCGGAAAGUCUCUGUAGGAGAGAGAGUAGAAUUACUUUUUAGUCCACUCUGGCUGCUGCAGAUCUGAGGCUUGGUAUAUACAUGUUAAGGAGUUUGGCUAUGGAGAACAUUGUUGAUUAUAAUUUUCUCCUUCUUUUUUCAGUACUGGGGGCUGAACCUGGGGCCUUGCACAUGCCAAGGAGGUGCCUUGCUAACUGAGCUAUGUCCCCAACUUUCUGCCCCUUUUCAUAAUGGUUUUGUAACCAUCCGAAGUCUCCAUCACUGACUGUAAUUAUAUUCUUCUGCCCCUAUGCACAUGGGCAGCACACGCCCGUCGAGAACUCCUGUCUGUAUGUGUGCUUUUUCUAGAGUUGGCAGGGAUUAGGGCUUGUGCACUUUGGACAUAACCUUUCUGGAGACUUGAGAUCCCCUCUUCUGCCAGCCUUCCCACUGAGAAUUUUCAUUUUAAAGAAUACACUUCCAGAACUUGAAUUAUGCACAAGGAAGCAGCCCUUCCUGCCAGAACCAAGAACCUGGGGGAGAAGCCUGUCCCUUGUUCCCAUUGUGUGGAUUGUCUUUCCUGUUGUCAGUAGCUAGCCUUUCUGUAAACAGGCCUUCUGGGCAUGUGGGGCUAAGAUGGCUUUCACAGGUAAACUCAAAGCUUCCAAAGGCCAGCCUUGUCUUGUUCUCUCUCAAGAUUCCAACAAGAGAAAAGUGGAAAGGCCUCCUGCCUGAGCUCUGUUUUCCUCAACAGAUUCUUACACACUCCCUAGUAAGGAGAUCCGCGUGGGUCACAGACACGCUAUGAUUUCAGUGUUUUUACCCAAGGUGGGGAGCUGACAUCUGCACAUGCGCUGUGCUCUGCGGCCUCCUCAGAGCUGAGUGCCAAGAUUAUACACGCUACUGCUCUCUCCUCGCUUAACUCACCCCAGCACUCCCACCUUCGGGUUUAUAUCCUCUGUCCUCAGCAUCAGAACUAAACCCUUCACCCCCCUGUCCUUCAGGCUCCCUUCCCAGGCUCCUCUGCUUGGCCUUGCUUUAUCUUCUCUGCCUCUGUGGAGUAGUCGCUGCCUCCUUCUCCGUCCUUGUGCCUGUCUGAAGCUAGAGCUGCCUAUUUCCAGGAGAGGUCUUUCAGAACAUUGCCCAGGCCCCUCCAGAAGUACUGUGUUUGGUACCAGCAUUUGUUUGUAGUUUUUAUAUGUGAUUGUGCUAUUGUUCUGUGUUAAGCUAAUGGAUCAAUGGACUUGUUUACAAUGUGAUAUUUUCUAUUAAAUUUAAUAUUUUCAAAUA